rnacentral:rRNA from 1 species
CCCUUAGACACUCUAGGCGGCACGCGCGCUACAAUGGGUGGAAGAACGCGUUACUGCCUCCGAAAGGAGGGGUGAAUCACGAAUUCUUGCCCGUGAAUGGGAUAGUUUGUUGCAAUUUUCGGACUUGAACUAGGAAUCCCUUGUAAACAUGCUCAAGAAUAGCGUGUUGAAUACGUCCCUGCCGUUUGUACACACCGCCCGUCGUUUCUUCCGACUGAUACUCAUUGUGAGUUGCAAGGACCCUUUAUUGGGAAAUUGCUGCAAAUGCUUUGUAUUGGAGGAAGAAAAAGUCGUAACA